rnacentral:rRNA from 1 species
AUUGAACGCUGGCGGCAGGCCUAACACAUGCAAGUCGAGCGAGCGGCGGACGGGUGAGUAAUGUCUGGGAAACUGCCUGAUGGAGGGGGAUAACUACUUGAAACGGUAGCUAAUACCGCAUACCAUCAGAUUUGCCCAGAUGGGAUUAGCGGGUAGGUGGGGUAACGGCUAACCUAGGCGACGAUCCCUAGCUGGGUCGAGAGGAUGACCAGCAACACUGGAACUGUGACACGGUCCAGCCUCUUACGGGAGGCAGCAGUGGGGAAUAUUGCAAAAUGGGCGCAAGCCUGAUGCAGCCAUGCCGCGUGUGUGAAGAAGGCCUUCGGGUUGUAAAGCACUUUCAGCGGGGAGGCGUUACCCGCAGAAGAAGCACCGGCUAACUCCGUGCCAGCAGCCGCGGUAAUUC